GAAGAGAAAUAAGCUUGAAGCUGC
rnacentral:siRNA from 1 species